AGAGUUUGAUCAUGGCUCAGAUUGAACGCUGGCGGCAUGCCUUACACAUGCAAGUCGAACGGCAGCACGAGAGCUUGCUCUUGGUGGCGAGUGGCGAACGGGUGAGUAAUAUAUCGGAACGUACCCUAGAGUGGGGGAUAACGUAGCGAAAGUUACGCUAAUACCGCAUACGAUCUACGGAUGAAAGUGGGGGAUCGCAAGACCUCAUGCUCAUGGAGCGGCCGAUAUCUGAUUAGCUAGUUGGUGGGGUAAAAGCUCACCAAGGCGACGAUCAGUAGCUGGUCUGAGAGGACGACCAGCCACACUGGAACUGAGACACGGUCCAGACUCCUACGGGAGGCAGCAGUGGGGAAUUUUGGACAAUGGGCGCAAGCCUGAUCCAGCAAUGCCGCGUGAGUGAAGAAGGCCUUCGGGUUGUAAAGCUCUUUUGUCAGGGAAGAAACGGUGGACUCUAAUACAGAUCACUAAUGACGGUACCUGAAGAAUAAGCACCGGCUAACUACGUGCCAGCAGCCGCGGUAAUACGUAGGGUGCAAGCGUUAAUCGGAAUUACUGGGCGUAAAGCGUGCGCAGGCGGUUGUGCAAGACAGAUGUGAAAUCCCCGGGCUCAACCUGGGAAUUGCAUUUGUGACUGCACGGCUAGAGUGUGUCAGAGGGGGGUAGAAUUCCACGUGUAGCAGUGAAAUGCGUAGAGAUGUGGAGGAAUACCGAUGGCGAAGGCAGCCCCCUGGGAUAACACUGACGCUCAUGCACGAAAGCGUGGGGAGCAAACAGGAUUAGGUACCCUGGUAGUCCACGCCCUAAACGAUGUCUACUAGUUGUCGGGUCUUAAUUGACUUGGUAACGCAGCUAACGCGUGAAGUAGACCGCCUGGGGAGUACGGUCGCAAGAUUAAAACUCAAAGGAAUUGACGGGGACCCGCACAAGCGGUGGAUGAUGUGGAUUAAUUCGAUGCAACGCGAAAAACCUUACCUACCCUUGACAUGUCUGGAAUCCUUGAGAGAUCAGGGAGUGCUCGAAAGAGAAUCAGAACACAGGUGCUGCAUGGCUGUCGUCAGCUCGUGUCGUGAGAUGUUGGGUUAAGUCCCGCAACGAGCGCAACCCUUGUCAUUAGUUGCUACGAAAGGGCACUCUAAUGAGACUGCCGGUGACAAACCGGAGGAAGGUGGGGAUGACGUCAAGUCCUCAUGGCCCUUAUGGGUAGGGCUUCACACGUCAUACAAUGGUACAUACAGAGGGCCGCCAACCCGCGAGGGGGAGCUAAUCCCAGAAAGUGUAUCGUAGUCCGGAUUGUAGUCUGCAACUCGACUACAUGAAGUUGGAAUCGCUAGUAAUCGCGGAUCAGCAUGUCGCGGUGAAUACGUUCCCGGGUCUUGUACACACCGCCCGUCACACCAUGGGAGCGGGUUUCACCAGAAGUGGGUAGCCUAACCGCAAGGAGGGCGCUCACCACGGUGGGAUUCGUGACUGGGGUGAAGUCGUAACAAGGUA
rnacentral:rRNA from 1 species